rnacentral:tRNA from 1 species
UCCCCAGUGGCGCAAUAGGUUAGCGCGCGGUACUUAUAAUGCCGAGGUUGUGAGUUCGAUCCUCACCUGCGGAA